CUAGGAGUCAGAUACAGAUCCACGUGGACUGCUGCAUGGACAAGGCUGCAUUUUUAACAGACAGAUAACAACCCGAAUGAGUGUUAUCCUGUGAAUAAGUGUAUAUCACUAGGAUCCAUGUUCCCAGGGGUCCACGACAGGAACAUGAAGAGGCGCAAAACAGGUGGAGGAAACUCUCCACGCGUUUGCGUGAAGUUGUGGGGUACCUUCUAUCAUGCCUGAUGGAGAA